ACAGCAGUUCGGUUUGUCGCCGACAGUUUUGUCCAUUGUAUAUGCUCAAAAACGUAUUGCCAUAAAUUGUGUUUUUUUUGGACAUUUUGGUCAAAUCAAACUGUCGGAGGAAAGUCCGGGCAACGCAGAGCGCCAUAUUUCUUAACAGGAAGUUGUUCGCGAGGGCAAAGUAACGUAACAGAAAAUAACCGCCGCUGUAUGUGCCUCUCCAAUUUGUUCCCCACAAAGCAGGAAGCAAUUCCUGCUCGGCGGGAGGUUUUUUUGGGGAGGAGAACAACGGUAAGGGUGAAAAGGUGGGGUAAAAGCCCACCGGUUUGUGUGGCGACACACAAAGCCGUACGUCUUAUGGGUUGCAAGUUCAAGUAUACCAACGAUUUAAGGGUUGCUCGCCCGAUGUUGGAGGGUAGAACGCUACAGGGUAAUGGCAACAUUGCUCGCAGAUAAAUGACAAACAUUUCGCCUGCCAUAAGCGAAAUACAGAACCCGGCUUAUAGAACUGCUGUUGCC
rnacentral:RNase_P_RNA from 1 species